rnacentral:rRNA from 1 species
GGCUCACCAAGGCGACGACGGGUAGCCGGCCUGAGAGGGUGACCGGCCACACUGGGACUGAGACACGGCCCAGACUCCUACGGGAGGCAGCAGUGGGGAAUAUUGCACAAUGGGCGAAAGCCUGAUGCAGCGACGCCGCGUGAGGGAUGACGGCCUUCGGGUUGUAAACCUCUUUCAGUAGGGAACAAGGCCAGUGUUUAGCUGGUUGAGGGUACUUGCAGAAGAAGCGCCGGCUAACUACGUGCCAGCAGCCGCGGUAAUACGUAGGGCGCAAGCGUUAUCCGGAAUUAUUGGGCGUAAAGAGCUCGUAGGCGGUUUGUCGCGUCUGCCGUGAAAGUCCGGGGCUCAACUCCGGAUCUGCGGUGGGUACGGGCAGACUAGAGUGAUGUAGGGGAGACUGGAAUUCCUGGUGUAGCGGUGAAAUGCGCAGAUAUCAGGAGGAACACCGAUGGCGAAGGCAGGUCUCUGGGCAUUAACUGACGCUGAGGAGCGAAAGCAUGGGGAGCGAACAGGAUUAGAUACCCUGGUAGUCCAUGCCGUAAACGUUGGGCACUAGGUGUGGGGGACAUUCCACGUUUUCCGCGCCGUAGCUAACGCAUUAAGUGCCCCGCCUGGGGAGUACGGCCGCAAGGCUAAAACUCAAAGGAAUUGACGGGGGCCCGCACAAGCGGCGGAGCAUGCGGAUUAAUUCGAUGCAACGCGAAGAACCUUACCAAGGCUUGACAUGAACUGGAAAUACCUGGAAACAGGUGCCCCGCUUGCGGUCGGUUUACAGGUGGUGCAUGGUUGUCGUCAGCUCGUGUCGUGAGAUGUUGGGUUAAGUCCCGCAACGAGCGCAACCCUCGUUCUAUGUUGCCAGCACGUUAUGGUGGGGACUCAUAGGAGACUGCCGGGGUCAACUCGGAGGAAGGUGAGGACGACGUCAAAUCAUCAUGCCCCUUAUGUCUUGGGCUUCACGCAUGCUACAAUGGCCGGUACAAUGGGUUGCGAUACUGUGAGGUGGAGCUAAUCCCAAAAAGCCGGCCUCAGUUCGGAUUGGAGUCUGCAACUCGACCCCAUGAAGUCGGAGUCGCUAGUAAUCGCAGAUCAGCAACGCUGCGGUGAAUACGUUCCCGGGCCUAGUACAUACCGCCCGUCAAGUCACGAAAGUUGGUAACACCCGAAGCCGGUGGCCUACCCC